UCGGGAAUUUUGGGCAAUGGGCGAAAGCCUGACCCAGCAACGCCGCGUGAAGGAUGAAGUAUUUCGGUAUGUAAACUUCGUAAGAAUAGGAAGAAUAAAUGACGGUACUAUUUGUAAGGUCCGGCUAACUACGUGCCAGCAGCCGCGGUAAUACGUAGGGACCAAGCGUUGUUCGGAUUUACUGGGCGUAAAGGGCGCGUAGGCGGUGUGUCAAGUCAGUUGUGAAAUCUCCGAGCUUAACUCGGAACGGUCAACUGAUACUGUCACACUAGAGUACAGAAGGGGCAAUCGGAAUUCUUGGUGUAGCGGUGAAAUGCGUAGAUAUCAAGAGGAACACCUGAGGCGAAGGCGGGUUGCUGGGCUGAUACUGACGCUGAGGCGCGAAAGCUAGGGUAGCAAACGGGGAUUAGAUACCCCCGUAGUCCCUGAGCGGGCUGGCAAGGCGCAU
rnacentral:rRNA from 1 species